GGUUGAAUGGUGUAAUGGUAGCACAUAAGAUUCUGACAUCGGAAUAUUCUUGUGACCUGGGUUCGAUUCCCAGUUCGACCU